rnacentral:rRNA from 1 species
UCUAGCCUGCCCACUGAAUAAUUUUAAAUGGCCGCAGUAUCCUAACUGUGCAAAGGUAGCAUAAUCAUUAGUCUUUUAAUUGAAGGCUGGUAUGAAUGGUUGGACGAGGUAUUAACUGUUUCAAAUAAAUUUAUAAUUGAAUUUUAUUUUUUAGUCAAAAAGCUAAAAUUUUAUUAAAAGACGAGAAGACCCUAUAAAUCUUUACUUUUAAGUUUAUUUUAAUUAUUAAGAUGAAUUUUAUUAUAAUAAAAUUAAAAGUUUUAUUGGGGUGAUAUUAAAAUUUAAUAAACUUUUAAUUUGUUAUGACAUUAAUUAAUGAAUAAUUGAUCCGUUAUUGACGAUUAAAAAUUUAAGUUACUUUAGGGAUAACAGCGUAAUUUUUUUGGAGAGUUCUUAUCGAUAAAAAAGAUUGCGACCUCGAUGUUGGAUUAAGAAAAAUUUUAGGUGUAGUCGCUU